ACGGGAGGCAGCAGUAGGGAAUAUUGGGCAAUGGAGGCAACUCUGACCCAGCAACACCGCGUGAAUGAUGAAGGUCUUCGGAUUGUAAAGUUCUGUGAUGGGGGACGAAGAAAGUGACGGUACCCCAAGAGCAAGCCACGGCUAACUACGUGCCAGCAGCCGCGGUAAUACGUAGGUGGCAAGCGUUGUCCGGAAUGACUGGGCGUAAAGGGUACGUAGGUGGCUAUUCAAGUUAGUGGUGAAAUUCCGGGGCUCAACUCCGGCGCUACCACUAAGACUGUUUAGCUUGAGUGCAGGAGGGGUAAGUGGAAUUCCUAGUGUAGCGGUGGAAUGCGUAGAUAUUAGGAAGAACACCGGUGGCGAAGGCGACUUACUGGACUGUAACUGACACUGAAGUACGAAAGCGUGGGGAGCAAACAGGAUUAGAUACCCUGGUA
rnacentral:rRNA from 1 species